rnacentral:rRNA from 1 species
CGCAACCCUCGCUGUGUGUUAUAUGUGUCACACGGGACUGCCGGUCUUAAGCCGGAGGAAGGUGGGGAUGAUGUCAAGUCAGCAUGGCCUUUAUAUCCUGGGCUACACACACGCUACAAUGGCCAACACAAUAGGUUGCUAAGCCGCGAGGUGGCGCCAAUCCAUAAAGUUGGUCUCAGUUCAGAUUGUAGGCUGCAACCCGCCUGCAUGAAGAUGGAGUUGCUAGUAACCGCAGGUCAGCUAUACUGCGGUGAAUACGUUCCCGGGCCUU